ensembl:misc_RNA Metazoa_SRP Metazoan signal recognition particle RNA
GACCAGGUAUGUGUCUCUUAGAGUCCUCCUUGUGAGGAUCGCUUGAGUCGAGGAGUUCUGGGCUAUAGUGCACUAUGCUGAUCAGGUGUCUGCAAUAAGUUUGGCAUCAGUAUGGUGACCUCCCGGGAGCGGGGGGCCACCAGGUUGUCUAAGGAGGGGUGAACCAGUCCAGGUCAGAAACAGAGCAGGUUAAAACUCCCAUGCUGAUCUAUAUGUGUUUUUAAUUGUUUUGAAUAAGGAUGCAUGGACAUAUGCAAACAUAAUAAAGGCAAUUUACAGCAA